UACAGAGGUCUCAAGCGUUGUUCGGAUUCAUUGGGCGUAAAGGGUGCGUAGGUGGCGUCGUAAGUCGGGUGUGAAAUUUCGGAGCUUAACUCCGAAACUGCAUUCGAUACUGCGGUGCUUGAGGACUGGAGAGGAGACUGGAAUUUACGGUGUAGCAGUGAAAUGCGUAGAGAUCGUAAGGAAGACCCAGUGGCGAAGGCGGGUCUCUGGACAGUUCCUGACACUGAGGCACGAAGGCCAGGGGAGCAAACGGG
rnacentral:rRNA from 1 species